rnacentral:rRNA from 1 species
UACGAAGGGGGCUAGCGUUGCUCGGAAUCACUGGGCGUAAAGGGUGCGUAGGCGGGUCUUUAAGUCAGGGGUGAAAUCCUGGAGCUCAACUCCAGAACUGCCUUUGAUACUGAUUGUCUUGAGUAUGGGAGAGGUGUGCGGAACUCCGAGUGUAGAGGUGAAAUUCGUAGAUAUUCGGAAGAACACCAGUGGCGAAGGCGGCACACUGGUCCAUUACUGACGCUGAGGCUCGAAAGCGUGGGGAGCAAACAGG